AAAAGUGAAAAAGUUUAGAUAAAAAUAUAUAUUUAAAAAAAAUCUAGAUAAAACACGAAAUCCUUUUAGAAAAUGAUCCGAGACUCAUGUAAGAAAUUUUUGAGCCGGGACCGAAUUAAAUUCCUAAUUGCCUACCCUUAGUUUUCUUUUCCUCUUCAGUUGACUGCCCCCAAUUUCUAUCAGCUAGUUCCUAAAUCCCCCCUAACAAAAUAACUUUGCCUUCUCCACUCCAACACCCACCAGCCACCACCAUCGUUGUUCAUCAGUCAGGCAGUCACCACCGGUCCACCAUCAUUGUUCACCAGUCAGGUAGUCACCAUCGGUCCACCCGUCAAUCUCUUUCAAUUUGAAAUUUGUCUUCUUGAGGAUAAAGAGGGUACAAGACAACCAAUCCACCGAAAAAUCAGAGUACACAAAAAUUUGUAUUGCUUUUUGCAGUUUGAAAUUUGUGUUUUGCUUUGCUUACAUUAAGGAUACGUUUAUCUCUUUAAAAAUGGUUUCCGAAGUAUAAUUUCUGGAAA